GAGUUUGAUCAUGGCUCAGGAUGAACGCUGGCGGCGUGCUUAACACAUGCAAGUCGAACGAACCUUCGGGUUAGUGGCGGACGGGUGAGUAACGCGUGAGAAUCUGCCCUCAGGAGGGGGAUAACAGCUGGAAACGGCUGCUAAUACCCCAUAUGCCGCGAGGUGAAAUGAAUUUCGCCUGAGGAUGAGCUCGCGUCUGAUUAGCUAGUUGGUGUAGGUAAUGGCUCACCAAGGCAUCGAUCAGUAGCUGGUCUGAGAGGAUGAUCAGCCACACUGGGACUGAGACACGGCCCAGACUCCUACGGGAGGCAGCAGUGGGGAAUUUUCCGCAAUGGGCGAAAGCCUGACGGAGCAACGCCGCGUGAGGGAUGAAGGCCUCUGGGCUGUAAACCUCUUUUAUCAAGGAAGAAGAUCUGACGGUACUUGAUGAAUAAGCCACGGCUAAUUCCGUGCCAGCAGCCGCGGUAAUACGGGAGUGGCAAGCGUUAUCCGGAAUUAUUGGGCGUAAAGCGUCCGCAGGCGGCCCUUCAAGUCUGCUGUUAAAAAGUGGAGCUUAACUCCAUCAUGGCAGUGGAAACUGAGGGGCUUGAGUGUGGUAGGGGCAGAGGGAAUUCCCGGUGUAGCGGUGAAAUGCGUAGAUAUCGGGAAGAACACCAGUGGCGAAGGCGCUCCGCUGGGCCAUCACUGACGCUCAUGGACGAAAGCCAGGGGAGCGAAAGGGAUUAGAUACCCCUGUAGUCCUGGCCGUAAACGAUGAACACUAGGUGUCAGGGGAAUCGACCCCCUCGGUGUCGUAGCCAACGCGUUAAGUGUUCCGCCUGGGGAGUACGCACGCAAGUGUGAAACUCAAAGGAAUUGACGGGGGCCCGCACAAGCGGUGGAGUAUGUGGUUUAAUUCGAUGCAACGCGAAGAACCUUACCAGGGUUUGACAUCCUGCGAAUCUCUUGGAAACGAGAGAGUGCCUUCGGGAGCGCAGUGACAGGUGGUGCAUGGCUGUCGUCAGCUCGUGUCGUGAGAUGUUGGGUUAAGUCCCGCAACGAGCGCAACCCACGUCUUUAGUUGCCAGCAUUUAGUUGGGCACUCUAGAGAGACCGCCGGUGAUAAACCGGAGGAAGGUGUGGAUGACGUCAAGUCAUCAUGCCCCUUACAUCCUGGGCUACACACGUACUACAAUGCUACGGACAAAGGGCAGCAAGUUCGCGAGGACAAGCAAAUCCCAUAAACCGUGGCUCAGUUCAGAUCGUAGGCUGCAACUCGCCUACGUGAAGGAGGAAUCGCUAGUAAUCGCAGGUCAGCAUACUGCGGUGAAUACGCUCCCGGGCCUUGUACACACCGCCCGUCACACCAUGGAAGUUGGCCACGCCCGAAGCCGUUACUCCAACCCUUGUGGAGGAGGACGUCGAAGGUGGGGCUGAUGACUGGGGUGAAGUCGUAACAAGGUAACC
rnacentral:rRNA from 1 species